rnacentral:rRNA from 1 species
AGAGUUUGAUCAUGGCUCAGAACGAACGCUGGCGGCGCGCUUAACACAUGCAAGUCGAACGCUUCAGGGGCAACUCUGAGGAGUGGCGAACGGGUGCGUAACACGUGGGUAAUCUGCCUCCAAGAUUGGAAUAACUCGCCGAAAGGCGAGCUAAUGCCGGAUAUGCCCACGGGAGCGAGAGUUCCUGAGGGGAAAGGGCGAAAGCCGCUUGGAGAUGAGCCCGCGGCCCAUCAGCUAGUUGGCGAGGUAACGGCUCACCAAGGCGACGACGGGUAGCUGGUUGAGAGGGACGGCCAGCCACACUGGAACUGAGACACGGUCCAGACUCCUACGGGAGGCAGCAGUGGGGAAUCUUGCGCAAUGGGCGAAAGCCUGACGCAGCGACGCCGCGUGUGCGAUGAAGGUCUUCGGAUCGUAAAGCACUGUCGCCCGGGAAAAAAGCCCGCAAGGGAUUGAUGGUACCGGGAGAGGAAGCACCGGCUAACUCUGUGCCAGCAGCCGCGGUAAUACAGAGGGUGCGAGCGUUGUUCGGAAUUAUUGGGCGUAAAGCGCAUGUAGGCGGGUUGUUAAGUCGCGUGUGAAAGCCCCAGGCUCAACCUGGGAAGUGCGCGCGAAACUGGCGACCUUGAGUGCUGGAGAGGGUGGCGGAAUUCCCGGUGUAGAGGUGAAAUUCGUAGAUAUCGGGAGGAACACCAGAGGCGAAGGCGGCCACCUGGACAGACACUGACGCUGAGACGCGAAAGCGUGGGGAGCAAACAGGAUUAGAUACCCUAGUAGUCC